GCAGGAGGCCAAGGGCCCUGACACCCUACAGAGCUGACCUGGAGAUGCCGUUUGUCAGCAGCAAAAGCAGAAUUGCCCUGCACUCUGUUUACUCCAGCCGCCGGGGCCUGCAGGAUUAUUGGGUCAGCCCACAGAGGCGGUACCCAGUUGGCAGCACGUGGCGCACCCCCAGCCAGCGACUGCUCAUCCUCCCAGGGAACACUGGUGUGUCCGAGGUGGAGUCCGUCCACUGGCCAAGCUGCUGCCAGUACAAGCACAAGCUGGUAUGGAAAAAUCGUUGGCAGCAUCUUGACUAUUACUACCUGGGCAAGAGAGCUCGCCAUUUCCGGCUCUCAACCAUUCACCUGUGAGAGGAUCACCCAUCCCACCAGUCCUGGGAUGGUUUGCAGUAGAGCCUGCUUGAUCCCCAAGAUGAAGUGGAGAGACCUGAGCCGUUCUGUUCCCUGGCCUCCCCGACAGCAGCCCUCUCACUGGGACUGAAGCUCCCUGCUGCAACACGCGUGCAAUAAAGUGG